rnacentral:rRNA from 1 species
CCUACGGGAGACAGCAGUGGGGAAUAUUGCGCAAUGGGCGAAAGCCUGACGCAGCGACGCCGCGUGAGGGAUGAAGGUCUUCGGAUCGUAAACCUCUGUCAGCAGGGAAGAACGGUCACUGUGCUAAUCAGCAGUGAAUUGACGGUACCUGCAAAGGAAGCACCGGCUAACUCCGUGCCAGCAGCCGCGGUAAUACGGAGGGUGCGAGCGUUAAUCGGAAUUACUGGGCGUAAAGCGCUCGUAGGCGGUAUGUCAAGUCAAGGGUGAAAUCCCCGCGCUCAACGUGGGAACUGCAUUUGAAACUGGCAAACUGGAGUGUGUGAGAGGAUAGUGGAAUUCCAGGUGUAGGAGUGAAAUGCGUAGAUAUCUGGAGGAACAUCAGUGGCGAAGGCGACUAUCUGGCACAUAACUGACGCUGAGGAGCGAAAGCGUGGGUAGCAAACAGGAUUAGAUACCCUAGUAGUC